rnacentral:rRNA from 1 species
CCUACGGGAGGCUGCAGUGAGGAAUAUUGGUCAAUGGGCGGAAGCCUGAACCAGCCAAGUAGCGUGCAGGAUGAAGGCCCUACGGGUUGUAAACUGCUGUUAUACGGGAAUAACGCGCCGUACGUGUAGGGCUUUGCAUGUACCGUAGGAAUAAGGACCGGCUAAUUCCGUGCCAGCAGCCGCGGUAAUACGGAAGGGCCGGGCGUUAUCCGGAUUUAUUGGGUUUAAAGGGAGCGUAGGCCGCAUGUCAAGCGUGCUGUGAAAUGUCCGGGCUCAACCCGGGCCUUGCAGCGCGCACGGGCGUGCUUGUGUCCGCGGCACGCAGGCGGACUUCGUCGUGUAGCGGUGACAUGCUUAGAUAUGACG